GUAUUUCAUUGCGUUAAACGCGACAUACAUUCCAUAAGACUUUGUUACAGUGUGUGUGUAAAUACAUAGAACCACAGCAGGGGGGACGGAGCCCCACAGGCCAUAGAACUACAGAGGGUGCACAGGUGUGAGUGGAUGUGUAAACAGAGCGUGCACAUGCCCCCAUACAGGGACCAGCAACAACUCUUGUUAACAAUUCGGUAAUGAUCCUUCCGCAGGUUCACCUACGGAAA
rnacentral:misc_RNA from 1 species